rnacentral:rRNA from 1 species
UACGUAGGGCGCAAGCGUUGUCCGGAAUUAUUGGGCGUAAAGAGCUCGUAGGCGGUGUGUCGCGUCGGCCGUGAAAACCUGCAGCUUAACUGUGGGCUUGCGGUCGAUACGGGCAUCACUGGAGUUCGGCAGGGGAGACUGGAAUUCCUGGUGUAGCGGUGAAAUGCGCAGAUAUCAGGAGGAACACCAGUGGCGAAGGCGGCUACCUGGCCCACUCUUGACGCUGAGGCGCGAAAGCUAGGGGAGCAAACGGG